rnacentral:rRNA from 1 species
GACGAACGCUGGCGGCGUGCUUAACACAUGCAAGUCGAACGGAAAGGCCCUGCUUUUGUGGGGUGCUCGAGUGGCGAACGGGUGAGUAACACGUGAGUAACCUGCCCUUGACUUUGGGAUAACUUCAGGAAACUGGGGCUAAUACCGGAUAGGAGCUCCUGCUGCAUGGUGGGGGUUGGAAAGUUUCGGCGGUUGGGGAUGGACUCGCGGCUUAUCAGCUUGGUGGUGGGGUAGUGGCUUACCAAGGCUUUGACGGGUAGCCGGCCUGAGAGGGUGACCGGCCAAAUUGGGACUGAGAUACGGCCCAGACUCCUACGGGAGGCAGCAGUGGGGAAUAUUGCAAAAUGGGCGGAAGCCUGAUGCAGCAACGCCGCGUGCGGGAUGACGGCCUUCGGGUUGUAAACCGCUUUCGCCUGUGACGAAGCGUGAGUGACGGUAAUGGGUAAAGAAGCACCGGCUAACUACGUG